rnacentral:rRNA from 1 species
UUUUUAUGGAGAGUUUGAUCCUGGCUCAGGAUGAACGCUGGCGGCGUGCCUAAUACAUGCAAGUCGAGCGAACAGAUGAGAAG